UCAAUUGUCUUAUAAUUGAAGACUGGAAUGAAUGGUUGAACGAAAUUAAAACUGUUUCAUUUGUAUUAAUUAGAAAUUGGUUUUUAAAUGAAGAGAUUUAAAUUUAAUUAAUAGACAAGAAGACCCUAUUGAGCUUAAAAUAACUUUAAAAUUAAAAAUUUAUUAUUAGAGAUUUAAGUUUUAAAUGUUUUUUAGUUGGGGCGACUAAGGAACAGGAGAAGCUUCCUUUAUUUGUUAAAUUGAUGAAUUUUGAUCCAGUAUUGAGCUGAUUAAUGGAGAUAGUUACCAUAGGGAUAACAGCAUAAUCUUCUUGGAGAGUUCUUAUCAAAAAGGGGGGUUGUGACCUCGAUGUUGGAUUAAAAUAUCCUAAGGGUGUAGAGGC
rnacentral:rRNA from 1 species